rnacentral:rRNA from 1 species
UACGAAGGUGGCAAGCGUUGUUCGGAUUUACUGGGCGUACAGGGAGCGUAGGCGGUUGGAUAAGCCCUCCGUGAAAUCUCCAGGCUUAACCUGGAAAGUGCAGAGGGGACUGUUCAGCUAGAGGAUGGGAGAGGAGCGCGGAAUUCCCGGUGUAGCGGUGAAAUGCGUAGAGAUCGGGAGGAAGCCGGUGGCGAAGGCGGCGCUCUGGAACAUUUCUGACGCUGAGGCUCGAAAGCGUGGGGAGCAAACAGG